rnacentral:tRNA from 1 species
GCCCGGGUGGCGAAAUUGGUACACGCAAGAGACUUAAAAUCUCUCGAGGGUAAAACCUCAUACCGGUUCGACUCCGGUCCCGGGCA